rnacentral:rRNA from 1 species
CGAACGCUGGCGGCAGGCUUAACACAUGCAAGUCGAGCGAGAUCUUCGGAUCUAGCGGCGGACGGGUGAGUAACGCGUGGGAACGUGCCCUUGCUACGGAAUAGUCCCGGGAAACUGGGUUUAAUACCGUAUACGCCCUUCGGGGGAAAGAUUUAUCGGCAAAGGAUCGGCCCGCGUUGGAUUAGGUAGUUGGUGGGGUAAUGGCCUACCAAGCCGACGAUCCAUAGCUGGUUUGAGAGGAUGAUCAGCCACACUGGGACUGAGACACGGCCCAGACUCCUACGGGAGGCAGCAGUGGGGAAUCUUAGACAAUGGGGGCAA